rnacentral:rRNA from 1 species
GCGAGUGAACUGGGAAGAGCUCAAAUUUUAAAUCACCUGGGUUUCCCUGGUGAAUUGUAAUUUGAAGAAAGUGUUUUGAUAUUCGGGUUUUAUCUAAAUCCUUUGGGAUGAGGUAUCAUAGAGGGCGAGAAUCCCGUUCGUGAUUGAACCUCGGAUGUCACUUAAUUCACUUUCUAAGAGUCGAGUUGUUUGGGAUUGCAGCUCUAAUUGGGUGGUAAAUUUCACCUAAGGCUAAAUAUCUGCAAGAGACCGAUAGCGAACAAGUACCGUGAGGGAAAGAUGAAAAGAACUUUGAAAAGAGAGUUAAACAGUACGUGAAAUUGUUGAAAGGGAAACGAUUGAAGUCAGUCAUGCUAGUGAGGAAUCAACUCGGUGGUUUUCUUCCGUGUGUACUUUCUCGCCUGGCAGGUUAGCAUCAACUUCUUUCAUCAUUAAAUGAUUGGGGUAAUGUGGCUUCUCUUCGGAGGAGUGUUAUAGACCUUGGUACAUGUGAUGAUCGGGAUUGAGGAUUGCAGCGAAUGCUAUUUGGCUAGUCCCCUGAUUUCUGAUGUUCACCUCGCUUUCGACAGCUUGCUGACGUUGGUGGGUUCUGAUCAUCUAGAUGUUAGAGUGAUCAUAUAUUCGCUAAGGAUGC